UGGUAGUGCAGUUGGCUCUGGCUGGCUUCAGGAGCUGCUUGCUGCCGUGGUGCAGGAAUAAUGGCUGGUGCCACGGCAGCAAGCAGCUCCUGAAGCCAGCCAGAGCCAACUGCACUACCAG
rnacentral:miRNA from 1 species